CGGCGCUAUAUCUAUGGCUCAAAACAACAACAAUAAACAAAACUACAUGUGUAGGAGAAACGAGUAGGAGUGCUGAGGUACUUAUAUACAAUCAUCACAAGAUAUAACAAACAGCUACGUUUAGCAAUUGCUGCCCAUAAUAAAAAGCAUGGAAAGUGCUGGAUUUCUCCUGUCGCUGAGUGAUGUACAGUGAUGUCAAAUAUUGCUGCUGUAUCUAAACCAAAAACUGAGGUUUUGUUUCUAGGACAAUAUCCCACAUAUUCUAUGUAAAAAUUAC